rnacentral:lncRNA from 1 species
GCUCCUCCGAGCUCGCUGUUCGUCCGGGUUUUUUACGUUUUAAUUUCCAGGACUUGAACUGCCAUGUCCUCUGAAGAAGGAAAGCUCUUCGUGGGAGGGCUCAACUUUAACACCGACGAGCAGGCACUGGAAGACCACUUCAGCAGUUUCGGACCUAUCUCUGAGGGUGAGACGGGCCAUACUCACAAUGGGGGUUGGUGAGAGAAAGUCUGGGAUCCUUGCAUUUCAAGGAGUAUUAACUGAAAAGUUAGGACCCACGCCUCCAAAUUCUUUUUCUUCCUAAGCCUAUGGUGUAGACUAAGGAUGAGGGGAAGCGUCUUUGGGAUUAGUGGGAGCGCUCCGUUUUCCCUACCUAUGCCAUCUCCUUUUCCGGCCACCCUUUGCUACUUAACCUUUGGGGUACUGACUGGUCCACAUUGCUCCAUCUUCUCUCCCUCUCACAGUGGUCGUUGUCAAGGACCGGGAGACUCAGCGGUCCAGGGGUUUUGGUUUCAUCACCUUCACCAACCCAGAGCAUGCUUCAGUUGCCAUGAGAGCCAUGAACGGAGAGGUGGGGCCUCCUAUCUGCAGAGGGACCUUGUCCCCAUCUGCGGCUUCCUUCAUUCUUUUUGUUUUUCCCUCUGUGUCUGCUCGGGGCAGCGUGGCCACCAAGCCCCGCAGUGCCCACUCACAGGAGCAUGACUGCCUUUUGUUCUAGGGGGUGGAGGGCAGCGGCAGACAGAGCCUGGCCGCCUGGGAGGCGACGACUGGUCCUGCAUGAGGCCGAGAAGCCACCUGUGGAUGGUUGACCUGCCUUGGGCUUAGGUAGUAGAGUCUGCAGACCUGUGGGCCUGGCCCGGAGAGGACCUCGUGAGUCUUCUGACAUGGACUCUGAAGCCUCAAACCAAGAGAGGUGUCUGUCUAGCCCUGAUAGUCGGGCAGCUUAGAGGAGUGGGGAGGAGAACUCAGCCU